GACGAACGCUGGCGGCGUGCUUAACACAUGCAAGUCGAACGGAAAGGCCCUGCUUUUGUGGGGUGCUCGAGUGGCGAACGGGUGAGUAACACGUGAGUAACCUGCCCUUGACUUUGGGAUAACUUCAGGAAACUGGGGCUAAUACCGGAUAGGAGCUCCUGCUGCAUGGUGGGGGUUGGAAAGUUUCGGCGGUUGGGGAUGGACUCGCGGCUUAUCAGCUUGUUGGUGGGGUAGUGGCUUACCAAGGCUUUGACGGGUAGCCGGCCUGAGAGGGUGACCGGCCACAUUGGGACUGAGAUACGGCCCAGACUCCUACGGGAGGCAGAAGUGGGGAAUAUUGCACAAUGGGCGGAAGCCUGAUGCAGCAACGCCGCGUGCAGGAUGACGGCCUUCGGGUUGUAAACCGCUUUCGCCUGUGACGAAGCGUGAGUGACGGUAAUGGGUAAAGAAGCACCGGCUAACUACGUG
rnacentral:rRNA from 1 species